GGUUAAGCGACUAAGCGUACACGGUGGAUGCCCUGGCAGUCAGAGGCGAUGAAGGGCGUGCUAAUCUGCGAUAAGCGCCGGUAAGGUGAUAUGAACCGUUAUAACCGGCGAUACCCGAAUGGGGAAACCCAGUGUGACUCGUCACACUAUCAUUAACUGAAUCCAUAGGUUAAUGAGGCGAACCGGGGGAACUGAAACAUCUAAGUACCCCGAGGAAAAGAAAUCAACCGAGAUUCCCCCAGUAGCGGCGAGCGAACGGGGAGGAGCCCAGAGCCUGAAUCAGCAUGUGUGUUAGUGGAAGCGUCUGGAAAGGCGCGCGAUACAGGGUGACAGCCCCGUACACAAAAGCGCAUGUGCUGUGAGCUCGAUGAGUAGGGCGGGACACGUGGUAUCCUGUCUGAAUAUGGGGGGACCAUCCUCCAAGGCUAAAUACUCCUGACUGACCGAUAGUGAACCAGUACCGUGAGGGAAAGGCGAAAAGAACCCCGGCGAGGGGAGUGAAAAAGAACCUGAAACCGUGUACGUACAAGCAGUGGGAGCACAGGUUUACCUGUGUGACUGCGUACCUUUUGUAUAAUGGGUCAGCGACUUAUAUUCUGUAGCAAGGUUAACCGUAUAGGGGAGCCGGAGGGAAACCGAGUCUUAACCGGGCGUUAAGUUGCAGGGUAUAGACCCGAAACCCGGUGAUCUAGCCAUGGGCAGGUUGAAGGUUGGGUAACACUAACUGGAGGACCGAACCGACUAAUGUUGAAAAAUUAGCGGAUGACCUGUGGCUGGGGGUGAAAGGCCAAUCAAACCGGGAGAUAGCUGGUUCUCCCCGAAAGCUAUUUAGGUAGCGCCUCGUGAAUUCAUCUCCGGGGGUAGAGCACUGUUUCGGCUAGGGGGCCAUCCCGGCUUACCAACCCGAUGCAAACUGCGAAUACCGGAGAAUGUUAUCACGGGAGACACACGGCGGGUGCUAACGUCCGUCGUGAAGAGGGAAACAACCCAGACCGCCAGCUAAGGUCCCAAAGUCAUGGUUAAGUGGGAAACGAUGUGGGAAGGCCCAGACAGCCAGGAUGUUGGCUUAGAAGCAGCCAUCAUUUAAAGAAAGCGUAAUAGCUCACUGGUCGAGUCGGCCUGCGCGGAAGAUGUAACGGGGCUAAACCAUGCACCGAAGCUGCGGCAGCGACACUGUGUGUUGUUGGGUAGGGGAGCGUUCUGUAAGCCUGUGAAGGUGGCCUGUGAGGGUUGCUGGAGGUAUCAGAAGUGCGAAUGCUGACAUAAGUAACGAUAAAGCGGGUGAAAAGCCCGCUCGCCGGAAGACCAAGGGUUCCUGUCCAACGUUAAUCGGGGCAGGGUGAGUCGACCCCUAAGGCGAGGCCGAAAGGCGUAGUCGAUGGGAAACGGGUUAAUAUUCCCGUACUUGGUGUUACUGCGAAGGGGGGACGGAGAAGGCUAUGUUGGCCGGGCGACGGUUGUCCCGGUUUAAGCGUGUAGGUGUGUGUUCCAGGUAAAUCCGGUUCACUUUAACACUGAGGCGUGACGACGAGGCACUACGGUGCUGAAGCAACAAAUGCCCUGCUUCCAGGAAAAGCCUCUAAGCAUCAGGUAACAUCAAAUCGUACCCCAAACCGACACAGGUGGUCAGGUAGAGAAUACCAAGGCGCUUGAGAGAACUCGGGUGAAGGAACUAGGCAAAAUGGUGCCGUAACUUCGGGAGAAGGCACGCUGACACGUAGGUGAAGUGAUUUACUCACGGAGCUGAAGUCAGUCGAAGAUACCAGCUGGCUGCAACUGUUUAUUAAAAACACAGCACUGUGCAAACACGAAAGUGGACGUAUACGGUGUGACGCCUGCCCGGUGCCGGAAGGUUAAUUGAUGGGGUCAGCGCAAGCGAAGCUCCUGAUCGAAGCCCCGGUAAACGGCGGCCGUAACUAUAACGGUCCUAAGGUAGCGAAAUUCCUUGUCGGGUAAGUUCCGACCUGCACGAAUGGCGUAAUGAUGGCCAGGCUGUCUCCACCCGAGACUCAGUGAAAUUGAACUCGCUGUGAAGAUGCAGUGUACCCGCGGCAAGACGGAAAGACCCCGUGAACCUUUACUAUAGCUUGACACUGAACAUUGAGCCUUGAUGUGUAGGAUAGGUGGGAGGCUUUGAAGUGUGGACGCCAGUCUGCAUGGAGCCGACCUUGAAAUACCACCCUUUAAUGUUUGAUGUUCUAACGUGGACCCGUAAUCCGGGUUGCGGACAGUGUCUGGUGGGUAGUUUGACUGGGGCGGUCUCCUCCUAAAGAGUAACGGAGGAGCACGAAGGUUGGCUAAUCCUGGUCGGACAUCAGGAGGUUAGUGCAAUGGCAUAAGCCAGCUUGACUGCGAGCGUGACGGCGCGAGCAGGUGCGAAAGCAGGUCAUAGUGAUCCGGUGGUUCUGAAUGGAAGGGCCAUCGCUCAACGGAUAAAAGGUACUCCGGGGAUAACAGGCUGAUACCGCCCAAGAGUUCAUAUCGACGGCGGUGUUUGGCACCUCGAUGUCGGCUCAUCACAUCCUGGGGCUGAAGUAGGUCCCAAGGGUAUGGCUGUUCGCCAUUUAAAGUGGUACGCGAGCUGGGUUUAGAACGUCGUGAGACAGUUCGGUCCCUAUCUGCCGUGGGCGCUGGAGAACUGAGGGGGGCUGCUCCUAGUACGAGAGGACCGGAGUGGACGCAUCACUGGUGUUCGGGUUGUCAUGCCAAUGGCACUGCCCGGUAGCUAAAUGCGGAAGAGAUAAGUGCUGAAAGCAUCUAAGCACGAAACUUGCCCCGAGAUGAGUUCUCCCUGAGACUUAGAGUCUCCUGAAGGAACGUUGAAGACGACGACGUUGAUAGGCCGGGUGUGUAAGCGCAGCGAUGCGUUGAGCUAACCGGUACUAAUGAACCGUGAGGCUUAACCUU
rnacentral:rRNA from 3 species